rnacentral:rRNA from 1 species
GCGCUUUMCAUGCAAGUCGAACGGCAGCGCGGGGCAACCUGGCGGCGAGUGGCGAACGGGUGAGUUAAUAUAUCGGAACGUACCCAAGAGUGGGGGAUAACGUAGCGAAAGUUACGCUAAUACCGCAUACGAUCUAUGGAUGAAAGCGGGGGAUCGCAAGACCUCGCGCGAUUGGAGCGGCCGAUAUCAGAUUAGGUAGUUGGUGGGGUAAAGGCUCACCAAGCCGACGAUCUGUAGCUGGUCUGAGAGGACGACCAGCCACACUGGGACUGAGACACGGCCCAGACUCCUACGGGAGGCAGCAGUGGGGAAUUUUGGACAAUGGGCGAAAGCCUGAUCCAGCCAUGCCGCGUGCAGGAUGAAGGCCUUCGGGUUGUAAACUGCUUUUGUACGGAACGAAAAGGUUUGGCCUAAUAAGCUGAGCUCAUGACGGUACCGUAAGAAUAAGCACCGGCUAACUACGUGCCAGCAGCCGCGGUAAUACGUAGGGUGCGAGCGUUAAUCGGAAUUACUGGGCGUAAAGCGUGCGCAGGCGGUUAUGUAAGACAGAUGUGAAAUCCCCGGGCUCAACCUGGGAACUGCAUUAGUGACUGCAUAGCUGGAGUACGGCAGAGGGGGAUGGAAUUCCGCGUGUAGCAGUGAAAUGCGUAGAUAUGCGGAGGAACACCGAUGGCGAAGGCAAUCCCCUGGGCCUGUACUGACGCUCAUGCACNAAGC